UACAGAGGGUGCAAGCGUUGCUCGGAAUUAUUGGGCGUAAAGGGUAGGUAGGUGGUCUCAUUUGUCUAGGGUGAAAGCCUGGGGCUUAACCCCAGAAGUGCCCUAGAAACGGUGAGACUGGAGUACUGGAGAGGGUCGUGGAAUUCCCGGUGUAGCGGUGAAAUGCGUAGAGAUCGGGAGGAACACCAGAGGCGAAGGCGGCGACCUGGACAGUAACUGACACUCAACUACGAAAGCGUGGGGAGCAAACAGG
rnacentral:rRNA from 1 species